AACCUGCCCAUCAGAAGGGGAUAACACUUGGAAACAGGUGCUAAUACCGUAUAACAAUCGAAACCGCAUGGUUUUGAUUUGAAAGGCGCUUUCGGGUGUCGCUGAUGGAUGGACCCGCGGUGCAUUAGCUAGUUGGUGAGGUAACGGCUCACCAAGGCCACGAUGCAUAGCCGACCUGAGAGGGUGAUCGGCCACAUUGGGACUGAGACACGGCCCAAACUCCUACGGGAGGCAGCAGUAGGGAAUCUUCGGCAAUGGACGAAAGUCUGACCGAGCAACGCCGCGUGAGUGAAGAAGGUUUUCGGAUCGUAAAACUCUGUUGUUAGAGAAGAACAAGGAUGAGAGUAACUGUUCAUCCCUUGACGGUAUCUAACCAGAAAGCCACGGCUAACUACGUGCCAGCAGCCGCGGUAAUACGUAGGUGGCAAGCGUUGUCCGGAUUUAUUGGGCGUAAAGCGAGCGCAGGCGGUUUCUUAAGUCUGAUGUGAAAGCCCCCGGCUCAACCGGGGAGGGUCAUUGGAAACUGGGAGACUUGAGUGCAGAAGAGGAGAGUGGAAUUCCAUGUGUAGCGGUGAAAUGCGUAGAUAUAUGGAGGAACACCAGUGGCGAAGGCGGCUCUCUGGUCUGUAACUGACGCUGAGGCUCGAAAGCGUGGGGAGCAAACAGGAUUAGAUACCCUGGUAGUCCACGCCGUAAACGAUGAGUGCUAAGUGUUGGAGGGUUUCCGCCCUUCAGUGCUGCAGCUAACGCAUUAAGCACUCCGCCUGGGGAGUACGACCGCAA
rnacentral:rRNA from 2 species